rnacentral:rRNA from 1 species
AAAUUGAAGAGUUUGAUCAUGGCUCAGAUUGAACGCUGGCGGCAGGCCUAACACAUGCAAGUCGAACGGUAACAGGAAGAAGCUUGCUUCUUUGCUGACGAGUGGCGGACGGGUGAGUAAUGUCUGGGAAACUGCCUGAUGGAGGGGGAUAACUACCGACGGUAAUAAUGCCGGGACGCUGGGCGCAUGGGGCGGAUUGGCCGUGGGCGGGUGCGGCGAUACUGGGCGACGUUCUUCAACUGGAGAUGCCGAGUUGACCGUACGCCGGUUGAACAGAACGGGGCUAUUGCGGCGAACAUUUCCCGUUGACUUAAUACGCGUCAUGCGAAGGGCGCAGAGAACAAGCGGGAGGAAGGUAAGUUACGGCUGCGCUCAGGCGUUUUGCGAAAGGCGCAAACUACUUCCGAUACCAGCAGCCGCGGUAAUACGGAGGGUGCAAACGUUAAUCAGGUGCGGGCGUAAACGCACGCGAGCGGUUUGUUAAGUCAGAUGUAAAUCCAGUCAACGCAGGAACGCAUCUGAUACUGGCAAGCAGAUGUCUCGUAGAGGGUAAAUUCAGUGUAGCGGUGAAAUGCGUAAGAUCUGGAGGAAUACCGGUGGCGAAGGCAUACGGACGAACUGACGGCGCUCGGGUAGCGUAAAGAACAAGCAAGGAUUCGUCUACGGUAGUCCACGCCGUAAGUAAUCGACUUGGAGGUUGUGCCCUUGAGGCGUGGCUUCCGGAGCGAUUAGAAGUCGACCGCACGAAAUACAGCCCGCAAGGUUAAAACUCAAAUGAAUUGAUAGGGGCUAAGCGGUGGAGCGUAAUGGUUUAAUUCGAUGCAACGCGAAGAACCUUACCUGGUUUGACAUCCACGGAAGUUUUCAGAGAUGAGAAUGUGCCUUCGGGAACCGUGAGACAGGUGCUGCAUGGCUGUCGUCAGCUCGUGUUGUGAAAUGUUGGGUUAAGUCCCGCAACGAGCGCAACCCUUAUCCUUUGUUGCCAGCGGUCCGGCCGGGAACUCAAAGGAGACUGCCAGUGAUAAACUGGAGGAAGGUGGGGAUGACGUCAAGUCAUCAUGGCCCUUACGACCAGGGCUACACGUGCUACAAUGGCGCAUACAAAGAGAAGCGACCUCGCGAGAGCAAGCGGACCUCAUAAAGUGCGUCGUAGUCCGGAUUGGAGUCUGCAACUCGACUCCAUGAAGUCGGAAUCGCUAGUAAUCGUGGAUCAGAAUGCCACGGUGAAUACGUUCCCGGGCCUUGUACACACCGCCCGUCACACCAUGGGAGUGGGUUGCAAAAGAAGUAGGUAGCUUAACCUUCGGGAGGGCGCUUACCACUUUGUGAUUCAUGACUGGGGUGAAGUCGUAACAAGGUAACCGUAGGGGAACCUGCGGUUGGAUCACCUCCUUACCUUAAAGAAGC